rnacentral:rRNA from 1 species
AUUGAACGCUGGCGGCAGGCCUAACACAUGCCAGUCGAACGGUAACAGGAAGAAGCUUGCUUCUUUGCUGACGAGUGGCGGACGGGUGAGUAAUGUCUGGGAAACUGCCUGAUGGAGGGGGAUAACUACUGGAAACGGUAGCUAAUACCGCAUAACGUCGCAAGACCAAAGAGGGGGACCUUCGGGCCUCUUGCCAUCGGAUGUGCCCAGAUGGGAUUAGCUAGUAGGUGGGGUAACGGCUCACCUAGGCGACGAUCCCUAGCUGGUCUGAGAGGAUGACCAGCCACACUGGAACUGAGACACGGUCCAGACUCCUACGGGAGGCAGCAGUGGGGAUUAUUGCACAAUGGGCGCAAGCCUGAUGCAGCCAUGCCGCGUGUAUGAAGAAGGCCUUCGGGUUGUAAAGUACUUUCAGCGGGGAGGAAGGGAGUAAAGUUAAUACCUUUGCUCAUUGACGUUACCCGCAGAAGAAGCACCGGCUAACCCCGUG